rnacentral:rRNA from 1 species
UGCCAGCAGCCGCGGUAAGACGAACUGCGCAAACGUUAUUCGGAAUCACUGGGCUUAAAGAGUGCGUAGGCGGCUUGACAAGUGGGGUGUGAAAUCCCUCGGCUUAACCGAGGAAUUGCGCUCCAAACUGUUUAGCUUGAGGAAGACAGAGGUGAGCGGAACUGAUGGUGGAGCGGUGAAAUGCAUUGAUAUCAUCAGGAACACCGGUGGCGAAGGCGGCUCACUGGGUCUUUUCUGACGCUGAGGCACGAAAGCUAGGGGAGCGAACGGGAUUAGAUA